UUGAACGCUGGCGGCAUGCCUUACACCUGCAAGUCGCACGGCAGCGCGGACUUCGGUCUGGCGGCGAGUGGCGAACGGGUGAGUAAUACAUCGGAACGUACCCUGUUGUGGGGGAUAACUAGUCGAAAGAUUAGCUAAUACCGCAUACGACCUGAGGGUGAAAGUGGGGGACCGCAAGGCCUCACGCAGCAGGAGCGGCCGAUGUCUGAUUAGCUAGUUGGUGGGGUAAAGGCCCACCAAGGCGACGAUCAGUAGCUAGUCUGAGAGGACGAUCAGCCACACUGGGACUGAGACACGGCCCAGACUCCUACGGGAGGCAGAGUGGGGAAUUUUGGACAAUGGGGGCAACCCUGAUCCAGCAAUGCCGCGUGUGUGAAGAAGGCCUUCGGGUUGUAAAGCACUUUUGUCCGGAAAGAAAUCGCGCUGGUUAAUACCUGGCGUGGAUGACGGUACCGGAAGAAUAAGCACCGGCUAACUACGUG
rnacentral:rRNA from 1 species